rnacentral:rRNA from 1 species
ACGAACGCUGGCGGCGUGCCUAAUACAUGCAAGUCGAGCGAGAGCGACCGGUGCUUGCACUGGUCAAUCUAGUGGCGAACGGGUGAGUAACACGUGGGUAACCUGCCCAUCAGAGGGGGAUAACAUCCGGAAACGGAUGCUAAAACCGCAUAGGUCUUCGAGCCGCAUGGCUUGAAGAGGAAAAGAGGCGCAAGCUUCUGCUGAUGGAUGGACCCGCGGUGCAUUAGCUAGUUGGUGAGGUAACGGCUCACCAAGGCCGUGAUGCAUAGCCGACCUGAGAGGGUGAUCGGCCACAUUGGGACUGAGACACGGCCCAAACUCCUACGGGAGGCAGCAGUAGGGAAUCUUCCGCAAUGGACGCAAGUCUGACGGAGCAACGCCGCGUGAGUGAAGAAGGUUUUCGGAUCGUAAAACUCUGUUGUUAGAGAAGAACAAGUGCUAGAGUAACUGUUAGCGCCUUGACGGUAUCUAACCAGAAAGCCACGGCUAACUACGUG